rnacentral:rRNA from 1 species
GCUCAGGACGAACGCUGGCGGCGUGCUUAACACAUGCAAGUCGAACGAUGAAGCCCUUCGGGGUGGAUUAGUGGCGAACGGGUGAGUAACACGUGGGCAAUCUGCCCUUCACUCUGGGACAAGCCCUGGAAACGGGGUCUAAUACCGGAUAACACCGGCUUCCGCAUGGGAGCUGGUUGAAAGCUCCGGCGGUGAAGGAUGAGCCCGCGGCCUAUCAGCUUGUUGGUGGGGUAAUGGCCUACCAAGGCGACGACGGGUAGCCGGCCUGAGAGGGCGACCGGCCACACUGGGACUGAGACACGGCCCAGACUCCUACGGGAGGCAGCAGUGGGGAAUAUUGCACAAUGGGCGAAAGCCUGAUGCAGCGACGCCGCGUGAGGGAUGACGGCCUUCGGGUUGUAAACCUCUUUCAGCAGGGAAGAAGCGAAAGUGACGGUACCUGCAGAAGAAGCGCCGGCUAACUACGUGCCAG